UACGAAGGGGGCGAGCGUUGUUCGGAAUUACUGGGCGUAAAGGGCGCGCAGGCGGCUCUGAAAGUCAGAUGUGAAAGCCCCGGGCUUAACCUGGGAAUUGCAUUUGUGACUGCAUCGCUGGAGUGCGGCAGAGGGGGAUGGAAUUCCGCGUGUAGCAGUGAAAUGCGUAGAUAUGCGGAGGAACACCGAUGGCGAAGGCAAUCCCCUGGGCCUGCACUGACGCUCAUGCACGAAAGCGUGGGGAGCAAACAGG
rnacentral:rRNA from 1 species